AGUUCUUCAUCUUUGACUUUUGACAAUUUGACUCUAAUGUGCCUCAGAGAGAAUCAUUUUGGGUUGAAUCUGUUUGGAGUUCUUUGAGCUUCCUGGAUCUCGAUGUCCAUCUCUCGCCCAAGACUUGACCUAUCUUCCUCCCCCAAACCCACCAUCCAAGCUUCAGCAACAUCAGUCCAACUAGGAGAAAACUUCAGUGUGACCUACAUGGUUCUGUGUGAGCCAGAGAUUGCUGUGGACUUUAGCUGGGGAUAUCCAGGGCAGAAGGUGCUGACAUCAGGAAAAUAAUAGAAGUUAACGCAGAUAUGGGGCUGCCACUGAGGAGAGAGAAGACUGAAAGAAGCAUAUAGAUAAAAGGAACAAAAUUUAAAUAAUGGAAUUUGGGGAA